GACGAACGCUGGCGGCGUGCUUAACACAUGCAAGUCGAACGGAAAGGCCCUGCUUUUGUGGGGUGCUCGAGUGGCGAACGGGUGAGUAACACGUGAGUAACCUGCCCUUGACUUUGGGAUAACUUCAGGAAACUGGGGCUAAUACCGGAUAGGAGCUCCUGCUGCAUGGUGGGGGUUGGAAAGUUUCGGCGGUUGGGGAUGGACUCGCGGCUUAUCAGCUUGUUGGUGGGGUAGUGGCUUACCAAGGCUUUGACGGGUAGCCGGCCUGAGAGGGUGACCGGCAACAGUGGGAAUGAGAUACGGCCCAGACUACUAAGGGAGGCAGCAGUGGGGAAUAUUGCACAAUGGGCGGAAGCAUGAUGCAGCAACGCCGCGUGAGGGAUGACGGCCUUCGGGUUGUAAACCGCUUUCGCCUGUGACGAAGCGUGAGUGAAGGUAAUGGGUAAAGAAGCACCGGCUAACUACGUG
rnacentral:rRNA from 1 species